rnacentral:lncRNA from 1 species
AUGGGCUCAGUUCCCAAGAGGUUGCUCCUAUCUCGGUCCUGGGGAACUCUCGAUCGCCCUAAACCAGUACGAGGCCAAACAGUCACGAGGAAAAGACAAGAUACGGGCGAGGGGCGAAGAGGCCUGGGCUCCGGGGCCGGCCGGCGCCAGCGGGGUAGGUGCAAGCCCGGGCGGGCGGCGGGGAGGAAUUCGGCUCGCCCCGGACAAACGGGGGCGUGGCGUGCAGCGGGGCUGGCAACUGCAGCCAAGGAAACUUCCAAAGGGCCGGGGAGGCGGCAGGGGGCGGGGAGAGGAGGCAGCGACAGGGGCGGGAGCAGGGACCCGGAGGGGGUCAGGGCUGAGCCGAGGCUGAGAGGCGGCUCGGGGGGAAGUCAGGCCCCCGGGGAUCCGGCCGGCCCGCGCUGUCGCUCAGACGACCCCGGAGCCCCCGCAGCCCCCCGCGCGCCGGAAAGGGGGCGAGGCUGCGGCGGUGCGCGGAGCGGGGAAGGGGGGGAGUGGGGAAGGGGCGUCGCCCCGGCCGCCCCCGCCCUCUCCGAUGCCAUUGGGCCGACGCUGCGGGGUCCGCGCCACCUUUUCUCCAUCCCGCCGGGUCCGCCCCGCCGCGCCCGUCCGGGAGCCGGUGCUGCCCGGGCCGCUGACGUCACCGCCAAGUUUGCUGCCCUCCGCGCCCCACGUGUGGCGGCGGCGGCGGGGCAGCGUCUGCGAGCGCAGUGGCCGCGGCGGCUGACAGGUCCCGCGCAGCCCGGCUCCGGCGCGCCGCUCCCCGGUGGACACCCCGGGCGCUGUGGAGCAGCCGGGCGCGCGCGGAGAGGGGCGCACGGCCCGCCGCGGGCCUCGGGCUCCCGCCGGGGCAGGCGCACUCGGGGGCACCUCGCGCCCCGGCGGCCACCGGCCCGGAGGAGGGCACCGUCGCUCGCCGCCGGCCGCAGCGCCCGGAGCUCCGCGUGCCCGGAGCCUCGAGUGCCCUCCCCGGGACCGAGCCAGGGAUGCACGACCGCUGAGCGGGGAUCCGCUCCGGGAGGCCGCCCGGGGCCGGGGCUGAGACGCACGCGCCGCCGCCUCCGCCGCCUCCGCCGCCGCCAGGACCCCCGUUCCCGCGGCGCUCGGGGACCCGGGGCGCCGAGCGCGUCCCCCAGGCUCAGGACGGGCGAGUCGACGACGAUGGUCUCUUAA